ensembl:lncRNA
AUGCCUUCUUUGUCACAGUAUGCCAUUCAGGUUGAGAUGGUGGAGUUCAGGAUCCUGCGAGGAGGCAGCAGGGCACUAAGUAGGAUCRCAACCCUGGACUUSAGGAGAGCAAACUUUGGCCUCUUCAGGGACCUACUUGGAGGAAUCCCAUGGGUUAGGGCCCUAGAAGGAAAGAGCAUUCAAGAGAGCUGGUUAAUAUUCAAAUAUCACUUCCUCCAGGCUCAAGAGCGGUGCAUCCCUAUGAGUAGGARGWSAAGCAAARGRGRYAGGAGACCUGCAUGGAUGAGCAAGGAGCUCCUGGCAAAACUCAACCAGAAGAAGGAAGUAUACAGAAAGUGGAAAGGGGGACGGGCCGCUUGGGAGGAAUAUAGGAAGGUUGUCAGAGUAUGCAGGGAUGCGACGAGGAAUGUUAAGGCCCAUUUGGAAUUAAAUCUGGCGAGAGAUGUCAAGGACAACAAGAAGGGCUUCUUCAAAUACAUCAGCAGCAAGAGGAAGACUAGGGAAAAUGUGGGCCCAUUGCUGAAUGGGGUGGGAGCCCUGGUGACGAAGGAUGCAGAGAAGGCAGAGUUACUGAAUGCCUUCUUUGCUUCAGUCUUUCCUGCUCAGGCCAGCCCUCAGGAACCCCAGACCCUGGAGACAAGAGAGAAAGUCUGGAGAAAGGAAGACUUUCCCUUGGUCGAGGAGGAGUGGGUUAGAGAUCAUUUAAGCAAACCUGACACCCACAAAUCCAUUGGCCCUGAUGGGAUGCACCCACGAGUGCUGAGGGAGCUGGCAGAUUUUAUUGCUAAGCCACUCUCCAUCAUCUUUGAAAGGUCAUGGAGAACAGGAGAGGUGCCUGAGGACUGGAAGAAGGCCAAUGUCACCCCAGUCUUCAAAAAGGGCAAGAAGGAGGACUCAGGGAACUACAGGCCAGUCAGCCUCACCUCCAUCCCUGGAAAGGUGAUGGAGCAGCUCAUCCUGGAGGCCAUCUCCAAGCAUGUGGAGGACAAGAAAGUGAUCAGGAGUAGUCAGCAUGGCUUCACCAAGGGGAAAUCAUGCUUAACCAAUCUGAUAGCCUUCUAUGAUGGAAUGACUGGCUGGGUAGAUGAGGGGAGAGCAGUGGAUGUUGUCUACCUUGACUUCAGCAAGGCUUUUGACACUGUCUCCCAUAACAUCCUCAUAGGGAAGCUCAGGAAGUGUGGUUUAGAUGAGUGGACAGUAAGGUGGAUUGAGAACUGA